rnacentral:rRNA from 1 species
CACGUAGGGCGCAAGCGUUGUCCGGAAUUAUUGGGCGUAAAGAGCUCGUAGGCGGUCUGUUGCGUCCGCUGUGAAAACCCGGGGCUUAACCCUGGGCUGGCAGUGGAUACGGACAGACUAGAGGUAGGUAGGGGAGAAUGGAAUUCCCGGUGUAGCGGUGAAAUGCGCAGAUAUCGGGAGGAACACCGGUGGCGAAGGCGGUUCUCUGGGCCUUACCUGACACUGAGAAGCGAAAGCGUGGGGAGCGAACAGGAUUAGGAUACCCU